GCACUCUUGGCGGAAUUGGCAGACGCGUAUGUUUCAGGUACAUAUGAGAAAUCGUAGGGGUUCAAGUCCCCUAGAGUGCA
rnacentral:tRNA from 1 species